UGGGGAAUAUUGGACAAUGGGCGAAAGCCUGAUCCAGCCAUGCCGCGUGUGUGAAGAAGGUCUUCGGAUUGUAAAGCACUUUAAGUUGGGAGGAAGGGCAGUAAAUUAAUACUUUGCUGUUUUGACGUUACCGACAGAAUAAGCACCGGCUAACUCUGUGCCAGCAGCCGCGGUAAUACAGAGGGUGCAAGCGUUAAUCGGAAUUACUGGGCGUAAAGUGCGCGUAGGUGGUUUGUUAAGUUGGAUGUGAAAUCCCCGGGCUCAACCUGGGAACUGCAUCCAAAACUGGCAAGCUAGAGUAUGGUAGAGGGUGGUGGAAUUUCCUGUGUAGCGGUGAAAUGCGUAGAUAUAGGAAGGAACACCAGUGGCGAAGGCGACCACCUGGACUGAUACUGACACUGAGGUGCGAAAGCGUGGGGAGCAAACAGGAUUAGAUACCCCCGUAGUCCCUGAGCGGGCUGGCAAGGCGCAU
rnacentral:rRNA from 1 species